CGCUUGUGGGUUAGCUAGAAAGCUUUCCGUCUUCGGGGAAAGAAAUCAAGUACAGCCACACAGCUCAACCAGCAGGGGGCACACGCGAGUCAGUCACAGUAUUGGGAGCAUUAUGGUGUCAUAGAGGAUCAGAACCUUGGCACUGGGAAGUAACUAUUUAAGUCAGAGGACUUUGGCUCCUGAUAGUCAUGGACUCACUAGGCUGCUAAGGAGCACCCUUCAUCUACACUUAAGGGGAGAAGCCAACUAUGGGAACUGUGAAUUAAAAGUCUGAAGAGAAACUUGUGGCCAGACCAGGUAUCACCAAGAAGACUUUUCUUGACCUUCAAAUCUAAGGACAAUGUGUGACCAGCCAAAAUGCAACCAGAGCUGUCCGUCAAAACCGAGCUGCCCACAACCCCCCCCAUGCUGCGCACAGAAGCCCCCUUGCUGCGCACAGAAGCCCCCUUGCUGCGCACAGAAGCCCUCCUGCUGCGCACAGACAUCUCCAUGCUGCCCGCAAAAACCAUGCUGCCAACAGAAAGCUCCAUGCUGCCCGCAAAAACCAUGCUGCCAACAGAAAGCUCCAUGCUGCAUCCAGCCGCAGUGCUGUGAUGUGAAGCCCAAGUCUGAGGAUACUUGCCCUGGGAAAGAUUCUGAACCCCCAGCACCGCAAACUGAAGAGCGGCUCAGAAGUCCACAAAGCACAGCCAAGCCAGGCACAGAGAGGCAGAUAAAACCCAGCAAGUCUUCACCACCACGGGAACCUCCAUGAGCCAUGUAAGAGGAGACCCGUCCCUUCACUGUCUCCAUGACUGAGAUGAACUGCUUAGGAAGGCCCAGGGACCAGAAGAAAUGCCAGCAAUACAGUAGGGUCCCAACUAAGGUGCACAGGAUGGGCAGGUAAGACUAGUGUGAAAAGUCAAAAGUAAUAGUAACAGUAUGAGCAGC
rnacentral:lncRNA from 1 species